rnacentral:rRNA from 1 species
UACGUAGGGUGCAAGCGUUAAUCGGAAUUACUGGGCGUAAAGCGUGCGCAGGCGGUUUUGUAAGUCUGUCGUGAAAUCCCCGGGCUUAACCUGGGAAUGGCGAUGGAGACUGCAAGGCUAGAGUUUGGCAGAGGGGGGUAGAAUUCCACGUGUAGCAGUGAAAUGCGUGGAGAUGUGGAGGAACACCGAUGGCGAAGGCAGCCCCCUGGGUCAAAACUGACGCUCAUGCACGAAAGCGUGGGGAGCAAACAGG